rnacentral:rRNA from 1 species
AUUGACCGCUGGCGGCAGGCUUAACACAUGCAAGUCGAACGAGCGGCGGACGGGUGAGUAAUGUCUGGGAAACUGCCUGCUGGAGGGGGAUAACUACUGGAAACGGUAGCUAAUACCGCAUACCAGCCGCGGAGCCACGAUGGGAUUAGCUAGUAGGUGGGGUAAUGGCUAACCUAGGGGACGAUCCGUAGCGGGGCUGAGGGGAGGACCAGACACACUGGAACUGAGACACGGUCCAGACUCCAACGAGAGGCAGCAGUGGGGAAUAUUGCACAAUGGGCGCAAGCCUGAUGCAGGCAUGCCGCGUGUGUGAAGAAGGCCUUCGUGUUGUAAAGAACUUUCAGCGAGGAGGCGUUACUCGCAGAAGAAGCACCGGCUAACUCCGUGCCAGCAGCCGCGGUAAUUC